rnacentral:lncRNA from 1 species
UAGGCUUUAUUGAGCAGAUUGAAAGGACAAAGCUUCCACAGUGUGGAAGGGGUCCCGAGCGGGUAGCCAGAGUUAGAUUAUGUGACUGCCUUUUAAACUCUUUAAGGCCGGAAAUACGUGUGGCGAGAUGUUACCAGAGCGAGAAACAAAGGCAAUUAACCGUUUGUAACAUGUCUUAGAUCUUGAGGAAAACUGGAAUUGCAACUUAGGUUUUAUCUACUUUAUGAACUUGCAGCAGCAUGGCAAAGGAGACGGGAUCUUACAGGACUUUGUUACAAAGUAUGUUUUCAAGGAAUUGGAAUUGGGAGGAUAGAUAAGGUCCGCUGGUCACAGAAAAACAGGCAGUUAACGUUCCUUUUACUUUAGUUUCGGGGGAGGCGGAAGAGAAAGAGAGAGAGAGGACACAGGGAAACUUACAGCAAAAGUUUCGAUGUUUAUAGCUUUCUUGGGGAAGAAAACACAUGCACAGAUCCUGGUGUUAGGAAUAUUUUAAGCAUGUAUCUUCAAUAUUAUUCAUCCAGGACCGAAGUAAGUCCUGAUGCAGGAAAUGAGUGACUUUCACAGCUUUCUGAGCCCCUACUCAACCCAGGAAGUCCAGCUGGCACCUCCUCUGGAUCACAAGCACUUUGGGAGGCCAAAGCAAGAGGAUUGCUCGAGCCCAGGAGUUUGAGACCAGACUGGACAACAUAGUAAACCUCAUCCCUACAAAAAAAAAAAAAAAGUAAAAAACGAAGCUGAAGGAUCUUUUGAGCCCGGGAGGUCGAGAUUGCAAUGAGCCGUGAUCAUGCCAUUACACUUACACCUGGGUGGCAGAGUGAGACCCUGCCUCAAAAAAAUAAAUAAAUAAAAAAUAAAUCUUAAAUUGACUAUAAAUGCUUUUGCUUAGAAGACCUAGAUUGUCUAGAAACAUAAGAGAUCUACAAAGAACUAUAUCCAAAUAUUUAGUUAUUUCUGAUAGGGUUCCAUUUCUCAUUUUCAGAGAAAGCUGCCAGGAUAUGAUCAGUGUUCCUAACAGUUCUUGCUGAUUAGAAGAACUUCAUCAGGAGUUAGUAUUCAACACUCUACUGUACUGUAAUAUAAUCUUUUUCUGCCUCUACUGCCCCAUGCAUGCAUUAUAGAUGGGAUUCACAAAAACACACAGAGAACAAAUAUUUGAUUCCCCGAAGACAGUAAUUUCAAAUUCAACUUAGAACAAAUAUAUUUUUCUCCAAAAGUCUAAUCUAUGAUUUUAUGUGGUUCACUUUAUCAAUUGAUCAUUCUAAUUUUCUUGCCAACCUCUGGCAUUCUGAGAAGUUCACCUUCCAUUCACAUAUAAGAAGAUGUCCUCAUGUGUUUAUAGUGUGGCUGUGAGUCAUUGGGUGGCACCAACUCUUUGUGCCAUUUCAUUUAUCUAUUUUAAAGCAAACUUUCAUCUGAUUAGAUCUACUUAAUUUUGUUAUAAAUAGUCCUUUCAUCCUAUUGCUGUUUAUAGAGUAUCCUUCAGUGUAUAAAAAUAAAGGCAAAUAUAGCUAUAAUGUAUUUUAGAAAUACUCUACUAUUACCUUUUCGCUUAACAUAUUUUUAUACAAUUAUUAUCUGGAACAAAGUUUCUCAAG